AGUUCCAUCCAGUCGAGGGGUAGAGUUCUUCGGAAUUUGAGACCGGCGCACGGGUGCGUAACGCGUAUGCAAUCUGCCUUCCACAGAGGGAUAGCCCAGAGAAAUUUGGAUUAAUACCUCAUAGCAUCAUGACCCGGCAUCGGGAUAUGAUUAAAGUCACAACGGUGGAAGAUGAGCAUGCGUCCCAUUAGCUAGUUGGUAAGGUAACGGCUUACCAAGGCUACGAUGGGUAGGGGUCCUGAGAGGGAGAUCCCCCACACUGGUACUGAGACACGGACCAGACUCCUACGGGAGGCAGCAGUGAGGAAUAUUGGUCAAUGGGCGCAAGCCUGAACAGCCAUGCCGCGUGGCAGGAUGACGGUCCUAUGGAUUGUAACUGCUUUUGUACNGGAANAAACCU
rnacentral:rRNA from 1 species